rnacentral:rRNA from 1 species
CAAGUCAUCAUGGCCCUUACGACCAGGGCUACACACGUGCUACAAUGGCGCAUACAAAGAGAAGCGACCUCGCGAGAGCAAGCGGACCUCAUAAAGUGCGUCGUAGUCCGGAUUGGAGUCUGCAACUCGACUCCAUGAAGUCGGAAUCGCUAGUAAUCGUGGAUCAGAAUGCCACGGUGAAUACGUUCCCGGGCCUUGUACACACCGCCCGUCACACCAUGGGAGUGGSUUGCAAAAGAAGUAGGUAGCUUAACCUUCGGGAGGGCGCUUACCACUUUGUGAUUCAUGACUGGGGUGAAGUCGUAACAAGGUAACCGUAGGGGAACCUGCGGUUGGAUCACCUCCUUA